GCCUACGGCCAUACCACCCUGAACACGCCCGAUCUCGUCUGAUCUCGGAAGCUAAGCAGGGUCGGGCCUGGCUAGUACUUGGAUGGGAGACCGCCUGGGAAUACCAGGUGUUGCAGGUU
rnacentral:rRNA from 1 species